AGCUUUGCACAGUGGCAGUAUUGAAGCCAAUGAGGUUUAUCCAAGGCACAAUUAUUGCUAAUUGAAAACUUUUCCCAAUACCCUGCCAACGACUUGAAAUAUAGUCAGCACUGGCAAUUUUUGACGGUCUCUACGAAGA